rnacentral:rRNA from 1 species
GAUGAACGCUGGCGGCGUGCCUAAUACAUGCAAGUCGAACGAAACUUCUUUAUCACCGAGUGCUUGCACUCACCGAUAAAGAGUUGAGUGGCGAACGGGUGAGUAACACGUGGGCAACCUGCCCAAAAGAGGGGGAUAACACUUGGAAACAGGUGCUAAUACCGCAUAACCAUAGUUACCGCAUGGUAACUAUGUAAAAGGUGGCUAUACUACCGCUUUUGGAUGGGCCCGCGGCGCAUUAGCUAGUUGGUAGGGUAAAGGCUUACCAAGGCAAUGAUGCGUAGCCGAAUUGAGAGGUUGGUCGGCCACAUUGGGACUGAGACACGGCCCAAACUCCUACGGGAGGCAGCAGUAGGGAAUCUUCCACAAUGGGCGAAAGCCUGAUGGAGCAACGCCGCGUGGGUGAAGAAGGUCUUCGGAUCGUAAAACCCUGUUGUUAGAGAAGAAAGUGCGUGAGAGUAACUGUUCACGUUUCGACGGUAUCUAACCAGAAAGCCACGGCUAACUACGUG